rnacentral:lncRNA from 1 species
CAGAACCAUAAUAAGCCACAUCUCAUGGCUAUAUACAAUAGAUCAUUAUAAGCUGAUAUAUUUGGCUAAUCAUAACAACAUCUAAUAUAAAGAAACUAGUCCUUAUACAUGCCACUCACUUGAAAGUGUUUAAUACACGUAUGACAAUACUCUGGAGUUGAUAGCUUGAUAGUGUGAUGCUGCCUCCGACGAUCUCCAACCCCAAGCUGACCUGACAACACUAAAGAAAUGGAGAGGAGGGAGUAAGCUUA